AAUGAACGUUGGCGGCAUGGAUUAGGCAUGCAAGUCGAGCGGUAAGGCCCCGCAAGGGGUACACGAGCGGCGUAAGGGACAGUAAUGUGUAGGUACGUACCUCCGGGCCUGGGAUAGCUGCGGGAAACUGCAAUUAAUACCAGAUGAUGUCUCCGGACCAAAAGGUGUGAUUCCGCCGGGAGAGCGGCCUACAUCCUAUUAGCUAGUUGGCGGGGUAACGGCCCACCAAAGGCUCAGAUGGGUAGCAGGUGUGAGAGCACGACCUGCGUCACUGGGACUGAGACACUGCCCAGACACCUACGGGUGGCUGCAGUCGAGAAUCUUCGGCAAUGAGCGCAAGGCUUGACCGAGCAAUGCCGCGUGCGGGAAAGAAGGCCUGGUGUAACG
rnacentral:rRNA from 1 species